UUGUGAUCUCAUGCAACUAGUAUAUAUUGUACUNAUAAACACAUAGGAAUAAAGUACUUUUUGANGGACAUUGGGGGGGCGCGUAGACAUUUAUCAGUGAGUUUUUGUUCUCGGAAGGACUAGAUAUGAAUAUUGAAUAAUCAGACAUAGUACGCAAAGGUUGUAUGUCUAAAGGGAAACAGCCCAGAACAAGAGUUAAUAAGGUUCCAAAAUUAUUGUUAAGUGAAAUUAAGGCAGUAUUUAUUCUAAACAGCCAGGCAAUAGGCUUAGAAGCGGCCAUUUUCUUAAGACCUCGUAACAGAGCACUGGUUUUAUUUAUAAUAAGGAUAAAAGCACCGAUAAUUUAACGGAUCUAAACAAUAUACCGAGACCUUGUCUAAAUAUAUUAAUGUUUACAUACAUUACAUCAUAUAUUUAGGGUAGCAGAACGUUGGUUAGGUAUAUUAUUACGCCUUGAUAAGGCAUAGAAGGCAUAUAUAUGUAUAUAUAUAUGCCGNGACAAACCAAGNGAGAAUGCUGACAUGAGUAACGAUAANGGGGCAUACCCUCGCCNAAAGCUGAUGGAAUUGAAUUAAAGUUUACGGCCUCUAAGUUUAU
rnacentral:rRNA from 1 species